AGGAAGAGGGUGGGACACAGGAGAGGCUGGCACACACUGCCUCUCACACUGAAGGAAGAGAGGGCGAGACACGGGGGUGUUAGACUGUGGAGACAGGGACAGCACAGCUUCCUUAAAGCUACAGCCUACCUGGACCUCUGGAAUCUCGGAAAGGUUUGCUACACAUGCACAAACAUGAGAUAAUGCUGCCAUCUCCUGGUACAAAGACCCCAGCUCCACCAAAAGGAGCCCUCCAACCCCAAGGAUUAGCUGGCACUGACAACAGCAGGGCAGAUCAUUACGUGAGAGGAGCAUCUGACAAGGCUGUGAUCUGCUUUCUCCAGGCAACAUGGCCAAGCACCAGCGCUGGGAAGCACAGACCCUUGCUUUUGCUUUAUAAGCACAGGCAAGUUUAAUUCCUCCAAGGCCUGUGAGACAGGCAAGGGAGCGGGCCAAGCUCAGGCUCCCCCCAACCCCACCCCAGGUUCCGCAGCUGGUGAAGGCAUGGGAUUUGAAUCCAGGAACCGACUCCGGGCAGCCGUUACACUGUAAUGUUCCCCACAUCAUGCAGCCCAACUUUAACCCAGGCUUAACUGACUGGAAGGAAGCAGUGCCAUAAUUAACAGACACUCGGUGUGUGAGGGAACAGAGCUAAGGUCCGAGAGGAACCUCAGCCAUCUGUGAUGAAAUCAGACGUUCAACCUCUGAGCAGCCACGACAGAUGGCCAGCCAUAUGUAAGCAGUCACACCAUCUUUUGAUUGAAUAUGAUUUCAAAUUCUAAAUUUUGACAUUUAUUGUUUUAAGAAAAACAAGUUUGCUGUGAUAUAUUUUGCAAUGUUAACAAACAUUAAGUGGAGUCUGUCUCUCUGCGUGAGUGGUACUGGCCACUUCACUUAAGCAUGCUGAGUAAAUAAGUCAUAGGCUGCACUGCUCACACAUGGCUGUCUCGGAGGUCCCAAAGCAAUCCCUCAUGUGUUUGGGCUCUCCGGAGGUGGCAAAAAAAAACUACUAAAGCACUUACAAGAUAAUCAGUGCAUUCUGAAACUAUAGUAAGAAUUUUAUGUUGACAAAUUAUAAGAUGGAUAGCUUCCUUAUUAGUUGUGCGCCUUUAUAAACCGAAUAAUCACCUAAUUUCUCAAGUUCUAUUUUAAUAGAAUCUGAGAUGAAUAGCAUGGCAAACUGUAGCAAACUGUCAUAAGAUAAUAACCAGAUGGUCAAGUAAGAUGCCGAGGGUAACAGGACUAUGGUUGUCACACCCACUCCAGUGGAGUCUGCAUGACAAGUCCAAAAGCUUGGCCAUAGUCCUGAGGCAAAAAGUUUCAUGGAAACUGGUCUCCUGGAGUUCUUGACAUCUAGGAACACAGAUGUGGCCCAGAUUUGUCCUUGUGAUAGUUGGUGGAGGGUUUUGCGUGGGUUUUUGGGGGUUUUUUUGUUUGUUUGUUUUUUGGGUUUUUUUUUUUUUGGUAUUGUUUUAUUAUAUAGGUGUCCCCAAGAAAUAAUGUAACAAAUAGCCAUGUUAGAUUGAACAUUGUUUUGGGGGUUUUUUUGUUUUUGUUAUUUUUUUGUUUUUUGUUUUUUGUUUUUUUUUUUUUUUUGCCUCCACUGGUGUCCCAACAUCUUAGUUAAUCGUUAAGCCAAUCCUGGGCUUGGAAUUUAAUAAGAAUGUUGCUUAUUUAGAUGAAAUGUCUCUAGUGUUGAAAGAGAGAUAGUGAAAGAAAUCUCAGGGCAAGUAAACUUAGAAUUCUCAUUACAGUCAGGUAUGGCAGACUACAUUACAUAAUAGAAGAAAGUUGGUGGGCUCCUCUGAUAAAUGGAGGUUCCCUACAGAUAGUUAGAAUUAUAGCUAAGUCACUCCCAUAUGUAAGAAUUUACAAUGGUCUAGAAAGAAGGUGGGCUGUGGUUUAAGGAGGAACUAGAGUAUUGUAUUAUUUAUAAAAAGGGUAGUAAAAACAGAACCCCCCUGGUACAUGCUUUUACUAGGCCCAGAGGAAUAACAUAAUUAGGUGCUUACUAAGGGACCCCUGGUGGUGAGUUAUACAAUAGACUAGAACUGGCUAGGGUGUGAAGCCCUCGAACCUGGCUCCUAAAAGUAGCUAACUUUAGAUAGGGCUGAUUAUCUCCCUUGUAAACACUGCCUGGUUCCUGCCAGUUUUUAUGUAUGUAUUUCCUCUGUUUUGUGUAAAGAGUCAUUAUACAUCAGAGGACCUCAAUGUAUCUUGUCUGGUGUAUUGCCUAACUUCUAUGUUUUCUUCUAUAAUAACUAUAUAAGUCUGAUGCUCACUUUGAGAAAUUACACUCAGAUUCAGCACUCUCUUA